rnacentral:rRNA from 1 species
UGGGGAAUAUUGGACAAUGGGGGCAACCCUGAUCCAGCGAUGCCGCGUGUGUGAAGAAGGCCUGCGGGUUGUAAAGCACUUUUAGUGGGAAAGAAUGUGAAGAUGUAAAUAGCGUUUUUAUUUGACGGUACCCAUAGAAUCAGCACCGGCUAACUCUGUGCCAGCAGCCGCGGUAAUACAGAGGGUGCUAGCGUUAAUCGAAAUUACUGGGCGUAAAGGGCGCGUAGGCAGUUCGCAAAGUCAAAGGUGAAAUACUCCGGCUUAACCGGGGAAUGUCCUUUGAUACUAGCAAACUAGAGUUCGAGACAGGAGAGCGGAAUUUCCGGUGUAGCAGUGAAAUGCGUAGAUAUCGGAAGGAACACCAGUGGCGAAAGCGGCUCUCUGGCUUAAAACUGACGCUGAGGCGCGAAAGCAUGGGGAGCAAACAGGAUUAGAUACCCCCGUAGUCC